rnacentral:rRNA from 1 species
GAACGGACUUUUGACUGCUUGCAGUCGAAAGUCAGUGGCAGACGGGUGCGUAACGCGUGGGAACUUACCUGGUAGUAGGGAAUAACCAAUGGAAACAUUGGGUAAUACUCUAUACGCCCUCAGGGGGAAAGAUUUAUUGCUAUCAGAUAGGCCCGCGUUAGAUUAGCUUGUUGGUGAGGUAAUGGCUCACCAAGGCGACGAUCUAUAGCUGGUCUGAGAGGAUGAUCAGCCACACUGGAACUGAGACACGGUCCAGACUCCUACGGGAGGCAGCAGUGAGGAAUAUUGGACAAUGGGCGAAAGCCUGAUCCAGCCAUGCCGCAUGAGUGAUGAAGGCCCUUGGGUUGUAAAGCUCUUUUAGUGGGGAAGAUAAUGACGGUACCCACAGAAGAAGUCCCGGCUAACUCCGUGCCAGCAGCCGCGGUAAUACGGAGGGGGCUAGC